CCUACGGGUGGCUGCAGUGAGGAAUAUUGGUCAAUGGGCGCGAGCCUGAACCAGCCAAGUCGCGUGAAGGAAGACGGCCCUACGGGUUGUAAACCUCUUUUGCCGGGGAGCAACGGGCGCCACGUGUGGCGCCACUGCGAGUACCCGGAGAAAAAGCAUCGGCUAACUCCGUGCCAGCAGCCGCGGUACUACGGAGGACGCGAGGGUUAUCCGGAUUUAUUGGGUUAAAAGGGUGCGUAGGCGGAGCGUUAAGUCAGUGGUCAAAUUGAGGGGCUCAACCCCGUCCUGCCAUUGAAACUGGCGCUCUUGAGUGGAAGAGAAGUAUGCGGAAUGCGUGGUGUAGCGGUGAAAUGCAUAGAUAUCACGCAGAACCCUGAUUGCGAAGGCAGCAUGCCGGCUUCCUACUGACGCUGAAGCACGAAAGCGUGGGGAUCGAACAGGAUUAGAUACCCCAGUAGUC
rnacentral:rRNA from 1 species